rnacentral:snoRNA from 1 species
UUGCAAUGAUGAAUCAGAUUCCAAAGCCAUUCGUAGUUUCCACCAGAGGUCGAAA